rnacentral:rRNA from 1 species
AGGGAAUCUUCCACAAUGGACGCAAGUCUGAUGGAGCAACGCCGCGUGAGUGAAGAAGGUUUUCGGACCGUAAAGCUCUGUUGUUGGUGAAGAAGGAUAGAGGUAGUAACUGGCCUUUAUUUGACGGUAAUCAACCAGAAAGUCACGGCUAACUACGUGCCAGCAGCCGCGGUAAUACGUAGGUGGCAAGCGUUGUCCGGAUUUAUUGGGCGUAAAGCGAGCGCAGGCGGAAGAAUAAGUCUGAUGUGAAAGCCCUCGGCUUAACCGAGGAAUUGCAUCGGAAACUGUUUUCUUGAGUGCAGAAGAGGAGAGUAGAACUCCAUGUGUAGCGGUGGAAUGCGUAGAUAUAUGGAAGAAUACCAGUGGCGAAGGCGGCUCUCUGGUCUGCAACUGACGCUGAGGCUCGAAAAGCAUGGGUAGCGAACAGGAUUAGAUACCCUGGUAGUCCAUGCCGUAAGCGAUGAGUGCUAAGUGUUGGGAGGCUUCCGCCUCUCAGUGCUGCAGCUAACGCAUUAAGCACUCCGCCUGGGGGAGUACGACCGCAAGGUUGAAAC